rnacentral:rRNA from 1 species
CGUGAGAAUCAUCAUGGCCGGAAACCUCAGGUUUUUGGAGGAAGGUUCGUCCGCUCCAAGUUAGGGGGAGCUAAGGUGAGGCCGAAAGGCGUAGCCGAUGCACAGACGGUAGAGAUUCCGUCCCCACCGAAAGAUUUAAGCGCAGGGACACUUUUAGAAGGUCGGAGCCAGGUGUUGGUUCUGGUAGAGAUCGAGGGAAGAUUAGUACCGAAGUCCGGCUGGAUAAGAGGCGAGAAAAGCUGCGUGUAUAUCUAAGGUGCCCGUACCGCAAACCGACACAGGUAGGUAGGAAGAAGAUUCUAAGGCCAACGGGAGAAGGGUUGUUAAGGAACUCGGCAAGUUGACCCCGUAACUUCGGAAUAAGGGGUGCUCAUGAAAGUGAGCCGCAGAGAAUAGGCCCAGGCAACUGUUUACCAAAAACACAGGUUUGUGCUAAAUCGAAAGAUGACGUAUACGAGCUGACGCCUGCCCGGUGCUGGAAGGUUAAAAGGAGAUGUGCAAGCAUUGAAUUGAAGCCCCAGUGAACGGCGGCCGUAACAAUAACGGUCCUAAGGUAGCGAAAUUCCUUGUCAGGUAAGUUCUGACCCGCAUGAAAGGCGUAAUGAUCUGGGCACUGUCUCAACAGCCCGCCCGGCGAAAUUGUAGUACCGGUGAAGAUGCCGGUUACCCGCGACAAGACGGAAAGACCCCAUGGAGCUUUACUGUAGCCUAAUAUUGGGUUUCGGUGUUGCAUGCACAGGAUAGAUGGGACGCUAGGAAGUGAGUGCUUUGGCAUUCAUGGAGCGGCCGUUGGGAUACCAUCCUUGCGACAUUGGAAUUCUAACCUGCGCCCUUGAAUCAAGGCGGGGGACAUUGUUAGGUGGGCAGUUUGACUGGGGCGGUCGCCUCCUAAAGAGUAGCGGAGGCGUUCAAAGGUUGGCUCGUCCUGGACGGAAACCAGGAGAGAGAGUGCAAACGCAAAAGCCAGCCUGACUGCGAGACUGACAGGUCGAGCAGAGACGAAAGUCGGAGUUAGUGAUCCGGUGGUAUGUGAGUGGAAAUGCCAUCGCUCAACGGAUAAAAGUUACCCUGGGAUAACAGGCUGAUCUCCCCCAAGAGUCCACAUCGACGGGGAGGUUUGGCACCUCGAUGUCGGCUCAUCGCAUCCUGGGGCUGUAUUCGGUCCCAAGGGUUUGGCUGUUCGCCAAUUAAAGCGGUACGCGAGCUGGGUUCAGAACGUCGUGAGACAGUUCGGUCCCUAUCUGUCGUGGGCGCAGGAUAUUUGAAAGGCGCUGUCCCUAGUACGAGAGGACCGGGAUGGACGAACCUCUGGUGCACCAGUUGUCACGCCAGUGGCACAGCUGGGCAGCUAUGUUCGGAUCGGAUAAACGCUGAAAGCAUCUAAGCGUGAAGCCGGCCUUAAGAUAAGAUAUCCCACUGAGAUAAUCAGGUAAGACCCCUUGAAGACUACAAGGUUGAUAGGCACAAUGUGUAAGUGGCGCGAGUCAUUGAGCAAGCGUGUACUAAUAGGUCGAGGGCUUGACCG